UACAGAGGGGGCAAGCGUUGUUCGGAAUUACUGGGCGUAAAGGGCGCGUAGGCGGCCUUCUAAGUCGAACGUGAAAUCCCUGGGCUCAACCCAGGAACUGCGUCCGAUACUGGAAGGCUUGAAUCCGGGAGAGGGAUGCGGAAUUCCAGGUGUAGCGGUGAAAUGCGUAGAUAUCUGGAGGAACACCGGUGGCGAAGGCGGCAUCCUGGACCGGUAUUGACGCUGAUGCGCGAAAGCUAGGGGAGCGAACGGG
rnacentral:rRNA from 1 species